CUACGGGUCGCUGCAGUGAGGAAUAUUGCACAAUGGGGGGAACCCUGAUGCAGCAACGCCGCGUGGAGGAUGACGCAUUUCGGUGUGUAAACUCCUUUUAUAUGUCAAGAAAAUGACGGUAGCAUAUGAAUAAGCACCGGCUAACUCCGUGCCAGCAGCCGCGGUAAUACGGAGGGUGCAAGCGUUACUCGGAAUCACUGGGCGUAAAGGACGCGUAGGCGGGUUGGAAAGUCAGGUGUGAAAUCCUACAGCUUAACUGUAGAACUGCACUUGAAACUUCUAAUCUAGAGUAUGGGAGGGGGAGAUGGAAUUAGUGGUGUAGGGGUAAGAUCCGUAGAUAUCACUAGGAAUACCUAAAGCGAAGGCGAUCUCCUGGAACAUUGCUGACGCUAAGGCGUGAAAGCGUGGGGAGCAAACAGGAUUAGAUACCCUCGUAGUC
rnacentral:rRNA from 1 species